CACACACACACACACGCUGAACUGAACUGAACUGGACACUUGUACCGGACUUUCUCUCCUAAACACGCUGGAUAUUAACGCUGACCAUUUUGGACUUUUUAUGGAUUAAACACUGGACAUGAGGACACUGGACUCUUUCAGACCUGAUUAUGUAAACCAUAGAUUAUGGAACAUUCCUGCAGUGGUUUACUGCCUCGGGUGGAAAGUCUUUCACUCGGUGACGUCUGAGAAAAGCAGAGAUAAGACAACGCUCAGCAGAGAUUAUCACGGUUAUGUAACUCACCUUCAGCGCUAGCAACCCGGGUGCAGCCCGAAUCACCUCACCGGACCUCCGGAAAACCACCCGCAACCUCCCAACCCGUCCCGGUGUGGCCAUCAGGGGCACUACUGAGUGAAAACACUAUUUCAGAAACGUGCCUCAUGAGCGUUUACGUAUAGAGACUCUACAUCUGAGAACAAAUUAUUCUGGACCGUGAAGAACGUUAUGAACCGCUCUUUUAUUUGGUGAUGCAUCGCUGUAUUGUAUUGUUUAGUAAGGUCUUUGUUUACAGGAUCAGAUUAUUACUCUCUUAUAUGUUUAUUACUCCUUUCACUGUUUAUGCGAGUUAGUUAUUUAUAUCAUUUUCACUGUUGUUUAGUUCGGGAGUGUCACGUAUCGAGGUCGAGCCAGAAGCAAGUGCAGAUAAUGACAUUUAUUUAAACACGCGUAGUAUGAGACAAAGACACGAAGACGACUUGGAAUAACACCGAACACCGUGGCAUGAAACAAAACACCGAGACAUGAGCGACGAGAGUCUAGGACAACGAAAGACACGCAAACAGUGCAGACAAGGACUAUACACACACACACACACACACACACACACACACACACACACACACACACACACACACACACACACAGAGUGCUCAUUAACAAAACCUGAGUCAGGUGCAGGUGGUCACGUGACAGCUAGUGCAGUGCAGUGGCUGAUGGGAAGUGGAGUCCAGAGUUUCUUGAUACACGACAGGGAGUUGUUUAUUUAUUUACUCAGUUAGUUGUUAUUUACUUAAGUUGUUAUUUUUGUUUAAUUGGUUAUUUGUCAGAUUUAGUGGUGGUUUUGUUAGGUGGUUGUUUCCUGGAUCAGUCAGUUACUUCGAUAUUUACUUGGUUAUGUAGCUAGGUUAUUAGUCUCUUAGUCAGUUAGUUGGUGAGUUAGUUAGUUAAUUGCUUUUGUUUAAUUGGUUAUCUAAGUUGUUGUUUAUUUAGGUAGACAUUUACUUCACCG
ensembl:lncRNA